rnacentral:lncRNA from 1 species
CAGUGGGGGGCAAGGUGCUCAUCUCUGUGGUUGGAUUUGACAGGGCCGAGACCAGUCGAGAGGAAUCCGAGUUCCUGGGAAAGACGAGAGGGACCGGAGCCAGGGCAGGAGCCCGCGGUAAGGAGAGAAGGGUGUGGCUUUGAGAAAGAUGGAGGAGGUAGAGCUGGAAACACAGAGGCGACCUGGAGCAGGAGAGCCAGCAUUCUGGGAUAUUAAACCUUGAGAUUCUCACAGUUAGAAGAAGUAGUUC